GCUGCACACUAUUAAAGCUCGGGGUGGAGGCCAGUCUUGGCCGGUGAACUUCUGAGUGUCGGAAGUGUGCUAUAUUAAUGGCAGGACUUUCGCUGACACCAGGAGAGCUUGCCUCUAUGACUGGAGUUGAUAGUGCUCUCUGCCACAUUC
rfam:Myotis lucifugus cont2.39242, whole genome shotgun sequence.